rnacentral:rRNA from 1 species
UCCGUGCCAGCAGCCGCGGUAAUACGGAGGGUGCGAGCGUUAAUCGGAAUUACUGGGCGUAAAGGGUGCGUAGGUGGUUUGAUAAGUUAUCUGUGAAAUUCCUGGGCUUAACCUGGGCUGGUCAGAUAAUACUGUUUGACUCGAGUAUGGGAGAGGGUAGUGGAAUUUCCGGUGUAGCGGUGAAAUGCGUAGAGAUCGGAAGGAACACCAGUGGCGAAGGCGGCUACCUGGCCUAAUACUGACACUGAGGCACGAAAGCGUGGGGAGCAAACAGGAUUAGAUACCCUGGUAGUCCACGCUGUAAACGAUGUCAACU